rnacentral:rRNA from 1 species
AAACCAACAGGGAUUGCCUUAGUAGCGGCGAGUGAAGCGGCAAUAGCUCAAAUUUGAAAUCUGGCGUCUUCGGCGUCCGAGUUGUAAUUUGAAGAAGGUAUCUUUGGUUUUGGCUCUUGUCUAUGUUCCUUGGAACAGGACGUCACAGAGGGUGAGAAUCCCGUGCGAUGAGAUGCCCAAUUCCAUGUAAAGUUCCUUCGACGAGUCGAGUUGUUUGGGAAUGCAGCUCUAAGUGGGUGGUAAAUUCCAUCUAAAGCUAAAUAUUGGCGAGAGACCGAUAGCGAACAAGUACUGUGAAGGAAAGAUGAAAAGAACUUUGAAAAGAGAGUGAAAAAGUACGUGAAAUUGUUGAAAGGGAAGGGCUUGAGGUCAGACUUGGUUUUACCAGGCCAGCAUCAGUUUGGGUGGCAGGAUAAGUGCGUAGGAAAGUGGCUCCACCUCGGUGGAGUGUUAUAGCCUGCGUCGAUACUGCCUGCCUAGACUGAGGACUGCGUCUUUGACUAGGAUGCUGGCAUAAUGACCUUAAGCCGCCCGUCUUGAAACACGGACCAAGGAGUCUAACGUCUAUGCGAGUGUUUGGGUGUAAAACCCGUACGCGUAAUGAAAGUGAACGUAGGUGAGAGCCCUUAAGGGUGCAUCAUCGACCGAUCCUGAUGUCUUCGGAUGGAUUUGAGUAAGAGCAUAGCUGUUGGGACCCGAAAGAUGGUGAACUAUGCCUGAAUAGGGUGAAGCCAGAGGAAACUCUGGUGGAGGCUCGUAGCGGUUCUGACGUGCAAAUCGAUCGUCGAAUUUGGGUAUAGGGG